rnacentral:antisense_RNA from 1 species
GGCGUCUGCAGUACUAAGGCGCUGCGCUGAGCGAUCUCACCACUGAUAUGAUAAGGCAGGCCACAGUUGGCAAAGGAGACAUAUUCGCCGCGCUCAAACAUAAUGAUUUCAGCAGUUUCGCUGAGUCUACGCGCCCUUGCCGCCGCCGAUGCGCCGCCCGCGACGCCAC